rnacentral:RNase_P_RNA from 1 species
GGGGUGAUAGUGAAAAGGUGGUGUAAGAGACCACCGGUGUCCGUAGUAAUACGGGCGGCCUGGUAACCCCCGCCGGGAGCAAGGUCAAGCAGGGACGAAGUGGUCCGAGGACCAGCGGGAAAUGCGCUCGUUUCCCUAUGUGCCUCCUGUUCAGGAGGUCAGUCCCGGGUAGGCUGCUAGAGCGGCGUGGCGACAUGCCGCCAAGAAAGAUGACCGCCCAGGCGCGGAGGAACCUCUCUGCUGCUGGACAGAAUGCGGCUUAUAGACCGGCCUGAGGC